UUCUUCCUGUCUACUAUAUUAUUAACAUUAAUAUUUAGUGUUGAAAGUGCUCUUUGGAAGUGUUAUUAUUAUAUUUUUUCAAGCACUUAAUCCCAUACAUUGCAUAGGGGAAUGUAUCUCUCCAUCUGGAUAUCUGUGCUCUACAGUGGAAAUACCAGAGCUGCUCAGAAAUGCAAAGCACCUGCAGCUCUUUUCAAGGGGUGGUAUCCAACUGUUGCCAGGGUGGAGUUAAUAUCUAGUUAAACAUUAACCCAGGGCUUGGUUCCAUCAUUUUAUAAUGUGUAACCUGCUGCAAGUAAAUGAUAAACUGUUCUGGGUGCAGCCCUGAUUGCCAAAUACUUAUAUUUCAUGUUGUUACUGUUCAGAGGAAAAGCAAAUAACUCUCAUUUGAAAACAGGUAAACAGAAAAGAUGCUGCAUACUGGUUUCUUGCUCUCCUGAAAAGGCAAGAAGAUAGUCAUUGCACUGGAAACUCUAUUGGCCAGUUCAAGAUUUUAUAUAUGUUUUUAAGACAACAGUACAAGUCUGGAAGCUCAUCAUGUGCUGAAGUCACUGUCUGGCCUCCCUGAGCCCUGUGGAGGAUUGUGCAAUCGUCACCCGUGUUCAUCAUCUGAGCAGCCCUGGGCAAGCAGAAUGUCCUCAGCCUGUCAGCGCAUUUGAAGGGUACGGUCUGCACCCUGAAGGUGCAGGGAGGGUAUGGUCUGCACCACAGCUCACCACCACAGUUCACAGAGCUGACAUCGGCACUCAGUGACUUGUGACAACCCUGUUACAAAGCAUGUGGUCACUGACUUCAGGCAGAAGCCAUGGGAUAGGGUUAUAUUAUUAUUACUACCGAGACUGUUGUUAUUGCAGUAAGUAUGAGCUGCUGACAGUAGAUGCCUCUCUGGAAAUAACUCAUCAAUCAUGAGAGCUGCCCACAGGAGGAGCCGCCCAGAGCCCUGAUCCGGCAGCACUUACGCAGCAGGAUGCCCGUGUUAUCAGUGAGGAAAUCCACACGCUUGACUCUACAUACGCAAGUGUCCUCACUAGUUCCUGAAGGCAGCAAAAAGAGAAAGUUCUACCCAUCCUCAUUCAGUUUGCUGCAGAACGAUGUUCUUGUUUGUUUCUGCCCUUCAAAAUAGUGAGUCAACUUGCCUCACUGAGAUUCAAACUGACCCUCCAGCAGUCCCUCUCAAACAUCAUUUUCUUUAUUAUAUCUCUUUUAUUUUCAAAUGUUUUGGGUAUAUAAAUACCUGUAAUAAACUAUAUUCCCGGAUCCUUAUGGUUACAUGUGAAACCAAAGACUUUAAUGUAACAGUUAAAAUUUUAGGAGAUUUCUUGCCACCACCCUGAUAUCUUGGUUGUUAGAAAAAUAAAAGCUUAUCAUCCAGUCUG